rnacentral:misc_RNA from 1 species
AAUACGCGUACCCUCCUUCUCCCCUCCGAUCCCACUUCUUGUACAAACGAGGCGCACGCAAACAGCCACGUAUACAUCGUAUAGACCGCCAUCACCACAGCACCACAGAAGUCGCCGCUUUCCCACGCCGCAUUAUCUUCCUUCUACUUUUUUGGACUCCGUAUACAACCUUCACCACCACCACCAACCUUUCUACUGGCGUGCGAGCAAGUACGCACGCCUACCUCCAUAGACAUAAUCGGUCAUCUCCGCUCACCCGCCCGUUCUCUUCCUCUGUGUGUGUGCGUGUGUGGCUCCCACCAUCUGUUCAUCUGCCCACAGCCCCGAUCAGCCUCUCAGCCACCCUUGGUUAUUCGCCCCUCCCCCGUUACCGUCGCACACGCGUGCAUCCACCCAUACAUACGCGAGCCCACCCCUCCCCUUCUUUUCCUUGUCCACACGUCGCCAUCACUCGAUACAAGGUUACACGCACGCACACAAAACUGUUGCGAUGAUGUUCCGCGGUCGUAUAGAGCUCAUUAUCGGCCCGAUGUUCGCCGGCAAGACAACGGAGCUAAUGCGCCGCGUCAAACGCGAGAUCCACGCCCGUCGCAGCUGCUUCGUCAUCAAGUACUCCAAGGACACCCGCUACGAUGAGCACAACGUUGCCUCACACGACCAGCUGAUGCUGCGGGCGCAGGCGGCCGUCUCGCAGCUGACGGAGGUGCGGGACACGUGGAAGCGGUUCGACGUGCUGGCGAUUGACGAGGGUCAGUUCUUUUCUGACCUGGUGAAUUUUUGCAACACCGCCGCCGACGCGGGCAAGGUAGUCAUGGUGUCGGCCCUCGACGGCGAUUACCGGCGUAAGCCGUUUGGGCAGAUCUGCGAGCUCGUCCCGUACUGCGAGGCGGUGGAUAAGCUGACGGCGGUGUGCAUGAUGUGCCACGAGCAGCCGGCCUGCUUUACUCGGCGCACCGUGAACGUGGAGCAGCAGGAGCUCAUUGGUGGCGCAGAUAUGUACAUUGCGACCUGCCGCGAGUGCUACUCGAAGCAGCAGCUGCCCUCGAUCGAGGAAAUGCGGACGCAGCAGAUGGCAAUCAAGGAGGUGGAGAAGCGCUACCUCGGCAUGUCAGACAAGAGGGCAACCGCCGUUCCCCAGACACCCGAGAAACCGGCUGGUGGCUGGGGCACUAAGACCGGGGUCGCAACGCUCCCCACGAUGGCAACCGAGGGAGCGGCCUCGUCUGGGGCGUCGGCCGGUAUGAAGUCGGGCCGAGACCUAUGCGAGGUGCAGACCUUCACCACCGAGGCGCCCAAGUACCAGCGUGUGGAACCCGCGUGCACGGCCUCGGCUGCAUCCUCAGAGUGACCUAGAGACGCAAGCCUCUUGCGCGAAAAGCAUCGAAAUUGAAAACUGGCCCACUCGGUGAUGAGGGGCCGCACCCGUCUGGGGUGUCACUGAGAAGGAAAGCGAAACUACUGGUCGAGCGGCCGCUGCUUCUGCCUGAACCCUCCUCCCUUGUCCACGUCAUGUCAGACGACAACUCUGCAGCUGCGACGAGACGUGGACACGCCGAGAUGCGUAGCCGAGGAAGGGGGAAGAAGAGUGGGAUGCGAAAGUAGAACCCAGGGAGAGCGACACGGGGUUGCGGCAGCGUCGAGCCAAUGGACAGGGCUAGGCUGCACUUUUUCUGCCACCCUCGUCGUCGUUUUGUUCGUCGUUGUGGUUUUUACCGCCGUCCUCGUACGAUAGUGCUGUUGAGAAGUACAGGAGAGUAGCGAGAUACACCUCGUUGAGGAAAGGGCGAGGAGGAGGGGCGCACGUGACUGGAAUGUGGGUCUUUGUCUGUGCACUGCCCCCUCUCCUGUGCGGAAGGUUCAAUCUUGUUGAGACAACUGCCUCAUUUCCAUCGGCGAUCUCUGCACUGUGCUUUUCUUUGCGUGGGUGUGAUGGUUUUUUCUUUUUGGAACCAACAGAAAAGGUCGCCUCCUGUUGCCGCGCUGCCGACACGGAACCCUCCCUUCAUGUCUCGUUCUCCCUCACGCACAUGCACGCGCGCGCACCCGGGAAACACUCUCCUCCGCUUCGGCUCUGUCACAGAGACGGUGCGCUUGCUCUGUUCGCUAUCGGUCCUCUCGCGCGCACGACAACCUAACAGGCGGGCGAGCGAUCGAAUGGGAGAUGUGGAUGGCGUGCGACAACAGGGGGGGAAGGGGAAGGUAGGGAGCGAUCUGUGGCUGCAGCAGCAGCAGAUGUGGCAGCGGCUUCUCUUGUAUCUCGGUCUCUUGCAGUGCGAUGACGCCGCGCUGCGCACCUCGAAAAGAAGAGAAGGGCUGCAAGGCGACGCCUGCGCACGCGUCUGUACGUUGGUGUUCGCGCAUGCCUCAUCUCUUCGCUCACGGGCAAAUGAUGUGCUGGCGCAGUCUGUGCGAAGGAGGAGGACGUCGUUCUCGGCACCUCGCGUUGCUCAAUCCACUCUCUGACGUCAAGGGCAGCUGCAGAGCGUCGGCACCACAGCGCAAGUAAAAGGCAAUGAAGACACCGCGGGACGAGAAAGGCGGUAGCUCCCUCGUAUGUGAUGCCUUGAUCACGGGCGUCUCUAUGUUUAGAAAGCCGUAU